rnacentral:rRNA from 1 species
AGCAGCCGCGGUAAUUCCAGCUCCAAUAGCGUAUAUUAAAGUUGUUGCAGUUAAAAAGCUCGUAGUUGAACUUCGGGGUUUACCCAUUGGUCAGGCUUAAUUGUCUGUACUGGUGAGAUAAAUCUCUACCUUCUGAGGAACUUUCAUGUCAUUAAUUUGGUGUGAUUGGAAAUCAGGACUGUUACUUUGAAAAAAUUAGAGUGUUUAAAGCAGGCUAACGUCUGAAUACAUUAGCAUGGAAUAAUGAAAUAGGACGGCUUGAUUCUAUUUCGUUGGUUUCUAGGAUCACCGUAAUGAUUAAUAGGGAUAGUUGGGGGCAUUAGUAUUCAAUUGUCAGAGGUGAAAUUCUUGGAUUUAUUGAAGACUAACUACUGCGAAAGCAUUUGCCAAGGAUGUUUUCAUUAAUCAAGAACGAAAGUUAGGGGAUCGAAGACGAUCAGAUACCGUCGUAGUCUUAACCAUAAACUAUGCCGACUAGGGAUCGGACGAAGUUAAUUUUAUAAUGACGCG